CUAGGCGACCUUAAUGAAAUACAAUUCUUGCACAAGAAAGAAGACGUCAAUCCACGUCCAUAUCAUCAUAUGCAAGCCUUCCAUAGCGCUAUCGAUGAUUACGAGUUGCACCACUUGGGGUUUACUAGGGACCCCUUCACAUGGCAUAGAGGGAUUAGAGAGAGGUUUGAUAGGGGACUUGGUAAUGAUACAUGGAUGACACCCUUCCCCAAUGCGGCGUUGGAAAAUAUGGAGUAUAACAAUUCUGAUCAUCGGCCCUUGUGUCUAAAUACUGAAUAUUAUUAUCAACCCAAAGUGCCAAACAAUAGACAAAAAACAUGUUUGAGGCAUGGUGGUUAA
rnacentral:rRNA from 1 species